AGUGAACGCUGGCGGUAUGCCUAACACAUGCAAGUCGAACGGCAGCACAGUAAGAUUUUGCUCUUACGGGUGGCGAGUGGCGGACGUGUGAGGAGUAUAUCGGAAUCUACUUUUUCGUGGGGGAUCACGAAGCGGGGGUUACGCUAAUACCGCAUAUGACCUACCGGUGAAAGCAUGGGAACUUCGCACCUUUCGCGGCUGGACUAGCCGCUUUCGGGGUAGCUAGUUGGCUGGGUAAAGGCCCACCAAGGCGAGGAUACGUAGCUGGUCUGAGAGGAUGAUCGGCCACACUGGAGCUGAGACACGGUCCAGACUCCUACGGGAGGCAGCAGUGGGGAAUAUUGGACAAUGGGCGCAAGCAUGAUCCAGCGAUCCCGCGUGGGUGACGAAGGCCUUCGGGUUGUAAAGCCCUUUUGUUGGGAAAGAAAAGCAGCAGGUUGAUACGAAGCUGUUCUGACGGUACCCAAUGAAUAAGCACCGGCUAACUACGUG
rnacentral:rRNA from 1 species